rnacentral:rRNA from 1 species
AACGAACGCUGGCGGCAGGCCUAACACAUGCAAGUCGAGCGAACCCUUCGGGGUUAGCGGCGGACGGGUUAGUAACGCGUGGGAAUAUACCCUUUGGUACGGAAUAGCCUCGGGAAACUGAGAGUAAUACCGUAUGUGCCCUUCGGGGGAAAGAUUUAUCGCCAAAGGAUUAGCCCGCGUUGGAUUAGAUAGUUGGUGGGGUAAUGGCCUACCAAGUCUACGAUCCAUAGCUGGUUUGAGAGGAUGAUCAGCAACACUGGGACUGAGACACGGCCCAGACUCCUACGGGAGGCAGCAGUGGGGAAUCUUAGACAAUGGGCGCAAGCCUGAUCUAGCCAUGCCGCGUGGACGACGAAGGCCUUAGGGUUGUAAAGUCCUUUCAGAUGGGAAGAUAAUGACGGUACCAUCAGAAGAAGCCCCGGCUAACUCCGUGCCAGCAGCCGCGGUA